CACAAUUUGCUAUCGAUGCGAUCCCAGUUAACCUAACUUCUGCAAUUUUUCCAUUUAAAGGUAUCUAUUGCUUGAGCAAAUUAAAAAUCGAAUUUGGGUGACAUGAGGUGAAGAUCCAAUACCAAAUUUAUUUAGGCCAAUAUUGUUCCAGGAAAGCAGUACUGAAUUUGUCUAACGUCCUGAAUUUGUGAUUAUGGAUCUGGAAAAACAUCAGAGGUUCACCGCUCAACAAGCUGGUCAAUUGCGGUCACCACAUAUUCCAAUUUACAUCCAUUUCAUUCAAAACAAUCUGCCACUGACCUUGAUUCCUUUUUACUCUCUACGUAAUUCCAGAAUUGUUUAAUAUUGGAUUUAAUGUUGCAUUGUAAUGAGUCUAUGUACCUCUGAUAAGCUAUAUUUAUUCCUGAUUUUAUUGAUGCUCUUAAAUCUAUGAAUUUGAUAAAGUAGUAUCUGGAGAACGAUUUUUUUAUGUGCACACUUAUUUUUAGAUUUAAUCAUUUGAAUUAUAUUCCUUGUAUACCAAACUGGAUACCUAGAUUUGUAUUUGGUAAUUAUUUGUUUUGAUACCUAGUCUUUGUGCGACAACCUCUAAUAUUUUAAUUCAACUAAGAGAGAGUUAGAAUUCAAAACAAAUAAUUAAUUUCAAAAAAGAAUAAAACAAUGGCAAGAAUUUGAAAAGCAAUUCAUGAUACCCAGUUCAAGAGUUGAAUGAAACUGAUGCAGUUGAAACUGUUUUAAGGAUGCAGUUUUGCCAUUGUAAUUGAGAACUUAUAAUUAUUAUAUAAUUAUAAUAUAUUAGGAAUUAAAAUCAUAUAGUUAUUUUUAAAGAACUUGCUGCUGACGAUCUAUUUUAAAUUUGCAGUUUAACU